rnacentral:rRNA from 1 species
CGAACGCUGGCGGCAUGCUUAACACAUGCAAGUCGCACGAGGGGGCAACCCCUAGUGGCGGACGGGUGAGUAACGCGUAGGUAUCUGUCCAUGGGUGGGGGAUAACAGCGGGAAACUGCUGCUAAUACCGCAUGACACCUGAGGGUCAAAGGCGUAAGUCGCCUGUGGAGGAGCCUGCGUCCGAUUAGCUUGUUGGUGGGGUAACGGCCUACCAAGGCGAUGAUCGGUAGCUGGUCUGAGAGGAUGAUCAGCCACACUGGGACUGAGACACGGGCCCAGACUCCUACGGGAGGCAG